rnacentral:rRNA from 1 species
CUCGUAGGCGGUUCGUCGCGUCCGGUGUGAAAGUCCAUCGCUUAACGGUGGAUCCGCGCCGGGUACGGGCGGGCUUGAGUGCGGUAGGGGAGACUGGAAUUCCCGGUGUAACGGUGGAAUGUGUAGAUAUCGGGAAGAACACCAAUGGCGAAGGCAGGUCUCUGGGCCGUUACUGACGCUGAGGAGCGAAAGCGGUGGGGAGCGAACA